rnacentral:rRNA from 1 species
UACGGGGGGGGCAAGCGUUGUUCGGAAUUACUGGGCGUAAAGGGCUCGUAGGCGGCCAACUAAGUCAGACGUGAAAUCCCUCGGCUUAACCGGGGAACUGCAUCUGAUACUGGAUGGCUUGAGUUCGGGAGAGGGAUGCGGAAUUCCUGGUGUAGCGGUGAAAUGCGCAGAUAUCAGGAGGAACACCGGUGGCGAAGGCGGGUCUCUGGGCCGAUACUGACGCUGAGGAGCGAAAGCGUGGGGAGCGAACAGG